UAAUGGCAGGUCAGCAUACUGCCGUGAAUACGUUCCCGGGCCCUUGUACACACCGCCCGUUACACCAUGAGAGUUGGGAAUACCCGAAGCCUGUGAGCUAACAAGUUUCUUGAGGCAGCAGUCGAAGGUAGAAUCAAUGAUUGGGGUGAAGUCGUAACAAGGUACC
rnacentral:rRNA from 1 species